AUUGAACGCUGGCGGAAUGCUUUACACAUGCAAGUCGAACGGCAGCACGGGGGCAACCCUGGUGGCGAGUGGCGAACGGGUGAGUAACACAUCGGAACGUGCCCAGUCGUGGGGGAUAACGUAGCGAAAGUUACGCUAAUACCGCAUACGAUCUACGGAUGAAAGCGGGGGACCGUAAGGCCUCGCGCGAUUGGAGCGGCCGAUGUCAGAUUAGGUAGUUGGUGAGGUAAAGGCUCACCAAGCCGACGAUCUGUAGCUGGUCUGAGAGGACGACCAGCCACACUGGGACUGAGACACGGCCCAGACUCCUACGGGAGGCAGCAGUGGGGAAUUUUGGACAAUGGGCGCAAGCCUGAUCCAGCCAUUCCGCGUGCAGGACGAAGGCCUUCGGGUUGUAAACUGCUUUUGUACGGAACGAGAAGGCUCUGGUUAAUACCUGGGGCUCAUGACGGUACCGUAAGAAUAAGCACCGGCUAACUACGUGCCAGCCGCCGCAGUAA
rnacentral:rRNA from 1 species